rnacentral:rRNA from 1 species
AGGAUGAACGCUGGCGGUCUGCUUAACACAUGCAAGUCGAACGGAGUAGAAAUACUUAGUGGCGGACGGGUGAGUAACGCGUGAGAAUCUGCCUUCAGGACGGAGACAACAGUUGGAAACGACUGCUAACCCCCGAUGUACCGAAAGGGAAAAUAUUUAUAGCCUGAAGAUGAGCUCGCGUCCGAUUAGCUAGUUGGCGGAGUAAAAGCCCACCAAGGCGACGAUCGGUAGCU